ACUUAGCGGCGGACGGGUGAGUAACGCGUGGGUAACCUGCCUUACACUGGGGGAUAACAGUUAGAAAUGACUGCUAAUACCGCAUAAGCGCACAGGGCCGCAUGGUCUGGUGUGAAAAACUCCGGUGGUGUGAGAUGGACCCGCGUCUGAUUAGGUAGUUGGUGGGGUAACGGCCCACCAAGCCGACGAUCAGUAGCCGACCUGAGAGGGUGACCGGCCACAUUGGGACUGAGACACGGCCCAAACUCCUACGGGAGGCAGCAUG
rnacentral:rRNA from 1 species